UUUGAGGGUACUAUAGGUAAUUUUGUAUCUGAAGCUUUGAGACAUGAUGCACGCUCCCACAAUGUGAGUUCUUUAUCUUUCUUUUUCUAUUUCUCUUUAAUCGUUCACUCUUUCUGUAAAUUUCUUGUGUAAAUCGUGAAAAUGUGUUCGUUCCUAAUGUAAACUAGUGAUUCAAACCAAAAAUUGCAGCCAAUCAUGAUUUUUCUGUUCAUAAUCGUUCAAUAUCAUCAGAUAUUCAGAUCUUGUGCGGUUAUUUCCUGAAAUUUUAACUCAAUGGAAUCAAUCAAUCAAGUAACCUUCUGUAAUCUCGCAAUAUUUUGUAAACACAUGUAUGUUUUCCCUAAUCGAUUACUUAGGCAAUUAAUUUUGCCCUAGUUUUUAGAUCAGUUUCUUAAAUCUCUCAUCUCCUUUUAUCCUAGAUUUCUCUAUUUCGUUCCCCCCACACUACCACCAUUGGAAGAUCAAUUGGAAGUAUAAUCGACACUCUAACAAAUAGGUGCACUCUCUCUUUACUUUCUCAUGGUCGAGUUGGUAGCAAUCGGAGACGUGUUCGACCCUCCGUCUUCAUUUUGGUUUGUGGCUAACAAACAUAUAACCAGACAUCUCACUUUUUGAAGCUCAAAUGUUCAUUGACUCAUGAGCCAAUUCUGAUUUCUCGAUUGUUCAUAGUUAAGACUCGAAUUACAUGGAAUUCUAGAUGAAUGUUGUUGAUUGUUAAAGUUUAGUGAUCAUUGUCUUGUAUAUGGUUUACUGAUUUCUUGAUUUUGGUCUUAAGUUUGAUUUGGGAUUUCAUUGGUUUCUCGAUUUUGACUUAAGCUCUAGUUUCUUUUCUAAUUUCUUAAUUAAGUUCUAGUUGUUAUUUUGCUGAUUUUCUAGAAUUCUUGAUUUCUAGCGUUUUUUUUCUUGGUUGCAGAACUGAAUUCUUGUUUUCUAUUGUUUAAGUUUUGGUGAAGCUAAAUUUUU
rnacentral:lncRNA from 1 species